GCGGCGGCAGGCCAGGAGAGGAAGAUGUUGAACUGGAGAGAGAAAGGAGGAGAAAAGAUUGGGGGGCUGGGCGGGAGGAGAAGGGUGUGUCUGAGGCCUCCGGCCCCUCUCCCACCUGCUCCCACAGAGACAAUGACAAGAUAAAAAAGAAAAUACUGAAGCUUAAGGAACGCCACGAAUCUCUGCAAGACGAUAUCUACACGCUGGAGGAACGUCUGUGUUCUUGCACCUGCCCUGAGAACCGAUCGAACCACGAACACAAAGAGAGCAAAAGGUGUGGCCGCUGGCCCCGGUCUUCAAGGAAAGGAGAGAGGGCAGGCGGCUGGCGGGGGUAUGGGGCGGGCGGUGGGGAGGAGCCUCGGUGGGACCGGAGGUGGGGGCCUGAGUGUGACAUCUCCCCCCUCCCUUUUUCCUCUCUCCCACCUGGGGCUUCCCCUUCAGGGCUGCGAACACAGGGCGACGGCUCCCGUGAGUACCCGAGGCCGGAUGCACCACCCCGUCCCCCCACGGAAACAAACCCCCUCUGGGGUUCAAUAAACUUCUCUCCGGGGCUGGGAACCCCUCUGAUUCCCAAAUGUUUGCUUCCUGGGGC
rnacentral:lncRNA from 1 species